GAGUUUGAUCCUGGCUCAGGACGAACGCUGGCGGCGUGCCUAAUACAUGCAAGUCGAGCGAGCUUGCCUAGAUGAUUUUAGUGCUUGCACUAAAUGAAACUAGAUACAAGCGAGUGGCGGACGGGUGAGUAACACGUGGGUAACCUGCCCAAGAGACUGGGAUAACACCUGGAAACAGAUGCUAAUACCGGAUAACAACACUAGACGCAUGUCUAGAGUUUGAAAGAUGGUUCUGCUAUCACUCUUGGAUGGACCUGCGGUGCAUUAGCUAGUUGGUAAGGUAACGGCUUACCAAGGCAAUGAUGCAUAGCCGAGUUGAGAGACUGAUCGGCCACAUUGGGACUGAGACACGGCCCAAACUCCUACGGGAGGCAGCAGUAGGGAAUCUUCCACAAUGGACGAAAGUCUGAUGGAGCAACGCCGCGUGAGUGAAGAAGGGUUUCGGCUCGUAAAGCUCUGUUGGUAGUGAAGAAAGAUAGAGGUAGUAACUGGCCUUUAUUUGACGGUAAUUACUUAGAAAGUCACGGCUAACUACGUGCCAGCAGCCGCGGUAAUACGUAGGUGGCAAGCGUUGUCCGGAUUUAUUGGGCGUAAAGCGAGUGCAGGCGGUUCAAUAAGUCUGAUGUGAAAGCCUUCGGCUCAACCGGAGAAUUGCAUCANAAACUGUUGAACUUGAGUGCAGAAG
rnacentral:rRNA from 1 species